rnacentral:rRNA from 1 species
CGCGUAGGCGGGAUAACAAGUCAGGUGUGAAAUCCGGGGCUCAACCCUCGAACUGCACUUGAAACUGUUAUUCUUGAGUGAUGGAGAGGCAAGUGGAAUUCCUAGUGUAGCGGUGAAAUGCGUAGAUAUUAGGAGGAACACCAGUGGCGAAGGCGACUUGCUGGACAUUAACUGACGCUGAGGCGCGAAAGCGUGGGGAGCAAACA